GAUGAACGCUGGCGGCGUGCCUAAUACAUGCAAGUCGAGCGAACGGACGAGAAGCUUGCUUCUCUGAUUUUAGCGGCGGACGGGUGAGUAACACGUGGAUAACCUACCUAUAAGACUGGGAUAACUUCGGGAAACCGGAGCUAAUACCGGAUGAUAUUUUGAACCGCAUGGUUCAAAAGUGAAAGACGGUCUUGCUUUCACUUAUAGAUUGAUCCGCGCUGCAUUAGCUAGUUGGUAAGGUAACGGCUUACCAAGGCAACGAUGCAUAGCCGAUCUGAGAGGAUGAUCGGCCACACUGGAACUGAGACACGGUCCAGACUCCUACGGGAGGCAGCAGUAGGGAAUCUUCCGCAAUGGGCGAAAGCCUGACGGAGCAACGCCGCGUGAGUGAUGAAGGUCUUCGGAUCGUAAAACUCUGUUAUUAGGGAAGAACAUAUGUGUAAGUAACUGUGCACAUCUUGACGGUACCUAAUCAGAAAGCCCCGGCUAACUACGUG
rnacentral:rRNA from 1 species